rnacentral:rRNA from 1 species
UACAGAGGGGGCGAGCGUUAUUCGGAAUUAUUGGGCGUAAAGGGCGCGUAGGCGGCUUUUCAAGUGACGGGUGAAAUCCCUCGGCUUAACCGAGGAACUGCCUGUCAGACUGGAAGGCUUGAGACCGGGAGAGGUGAGUGGAAUUCCCAGUGUAGCGGUGAAAUGCGUAGAUAUUGGGAGGAACACCAGUGGCGAAGGCGGCGCACUGGACCGGAACUGACGCUGAGGCGCGAAAGCGUGGGGAGCAAACAGG